AAAAGGAAAAUUAAUGGUUGAAUAACUAUAAAAAAAAUUUUUAAUAUAAAUAUUUAAUGGGGGUUAAAGUAUUUUAUAGAAAAAAAUUGAAAAAUUUAUAGUAAAAUAGUAUUGUAAAAGAAAUUUGAAAAAUAAUAGUUAAAAAAAAAUUAUAUUAAAGUAAAUUUAAUUUAUUGUAUCUUGUGUAUCAGAGUUUAUUAAAAAAUAAUUUUGGGGGGAAUUAUUUCGAAUUUAAAAGAGCUAAUUGAUUAAAAAAGUUAAUAUUACAUAAUUAUUUUUAAUAGUUAAUUAGAAAUUAAAAGUUAAACGUUUUUAAAGAUAUCUAAUUUUUUUGGAAAAAAGUUUAAUUUUAAAUUAUAUUAGUUUUAUAAUUAAUUUAUUAUUUAUGAAAAAAAUUUAAUUAAAUAUUUUAAGGGAUAAGCUUUAAAUUAGAAUAUUAUAAUAAAUAUAAAUUUAAUUGAAAUUUUUAAAAUUUAUAUUUUUUAAAAAUUAUAGUUUAAUUAUAAAUAAUUUCAAUUAUUUAUAAUUUAAUUUUUAUUUAAAUUUUUAUAAAAAUAUAAUUUUUAAUUAUUUUAAAAUUAGUAAUAAUGAUAAAAUUAGUAUAUAAAAAUUAUUAAAAUAAAAUAAUAAAUUUUUUUUAAAAAAAUUAAAAAAAAGGAAUUCGGCAAAAAUUUAUAUUCACUUGUUUAUCAAAAACAUGUCUUUUUGUUAAUAAUUUAAAGUCUAAUCUGCCCACUGAAAAAUUUUUAAAGGGCUGCAGUAUAUUGACUGUACAAAGGUAGCAUAAUCACUAUUCUUUUAAUUGAAGACUUGUAUGAAUGAUUUGAUGAGAUAUAAACUGUCUUUUUUUUAUUAGUAGAAUUUAAUUUUUUAGUUAAAAAGCUAAAAUUUUUUUAAAAGACGAGAAGACCCUAUAGAGUUUAAUUUUUUAAUUUUUAUUAAUAUUUUAUAAAAUUUUUAAUUAAUAAAAAUUAAAAAAAUUUUGUUGGGGUGAUAGAAAAAUUUAUAAAACUUUUUUUGAAAUAAUUGACAUUAAUUUAUGAUUUUUUGAUCCAUAAUUUAUGAUUAAAAGAUUAAAUUACCUUAGGGAUAACAGCGUAAUUUUUUUUUUUAGUUCAAAUAAAAAUUAAAGUUUGCGACCUCGAUGUUGGAUUAAGAUAAAAUUUAAAUGUAAAAGUUUAAAAUUUUGAUCUGUUCGAUCAUUAAAAUCUUACAUGAUCUGAGUUCAAACCGGUGUGAGCCAGGUUGGUUUCUAUCUUUAAAUAAAUAAAAUAAUUUAGUACGAAAGGAUCAAUUAUUUUAAAUAAUUUAAUUAAUUAAGAAUAUUAGUAAUUUUUCUU
rnacentral:rRNA from 1 species